UCUUGCCCCACAAAUAGAACCCCUUUGUGAGUUCACCUUCCAGGCAGCUGGCUACACACCAGAAUCUCCUCUUGAGUAGGGACACUUCUCAAGGUUAGUUAAUGUCUGCACAGAGAUUCACCUGGUGAUGCCUUGCUUGAAAAUCUGAGUUGCAGUUAGCUGAGGCUCCCCACCCCAGUGUAAAUCCAGCAAAAUGGAGACAAAACACUGUGGAAACCCAAAACCCCUCCAUAAUGCAGCUGAUUCCCUCACUUUUGGACUUUUGGUAAUGGCAGACCCCAGUGACUGGAUUCAUCAACCAUAGGAAAUGUUUCCAGAAGCAAAGUUAAAAUUUCAUUGCUCACUCCUUCUCACAUCUCCCCCCCCAACUUGCCAAUUGAGAAAACUUCAGUUUUCCCUGAAAGUAAAUGCAUGGAAAUCCUGCUGUCCUUUUGCAUGAGACUGAAUAUGACCUAGAUUGAUUUUACAGUGAGUUGCCCCACUGGACCUACUCCAUUUCCAGCAGAGUUUUCUUCUAGGAGGCUUCUCAAGAGCAUUUUAAAAUUCAGGCCUUAAUGUUCCUCAGAACCUAAUAAAAGAGGUGGUACAUCUUCCCCUCCA
rnacentral:lncRNA from 1 species